UUCAAUGCUGAGGCGUGAUAACGAGUGGUCUCGUACCGCGAAGUGAUUGAUACCAUGCUUCCAAGAAAAGCCUCUAAGCUUCAGUUACAAGGAGACCGUACCGCAAACCAACACAGGUGGGCAGGAUGAAAAUUCUAAGGCGCUUGAGAGAACUCAGGAGAAGGAACUCGGCAAAUUUGCACCGUAACUUCGGGAUAAGGUGCGCCCUGAUAGGUUGUAGCCCCUCGCGGGUGAAGGCUGAAAGGGUUGCAGUGAAAUGGUGGCUGCGACUGUUUAAUAAAAACACAGCACUCUGCAAACACGAAAGUGGACGUAUAGGGUGUGACGCCUGCCCGGUGCCGGAAGGUUAAGUGAUGGGGUGAGAGCUCUUGAUCGAAGCCCCGGUAAACGGCGGCCGUAACAAUAACGGUCCUAAGGUAGCGAAAUUCCUUGUCGGGUAAGUUCCGACCUGCACGAAUGGCGUAACGAUGGCCACACUGUCUCCUCCUGAGACUCAGCGAAGUUGAAAUGGUUGUGAAGAUGCAAUCUCCCCGCGGUUAGACGGAAAGACCCCAUGAACCUUUACUGUAGCUUUGCAUUGGACUUUGAACCGACUUGUGUAGGAUAGGUGGGAGGCUGUGAAACCGGGACGCUAGUUCAGGUGGAGCCAACCUUGAAAUACCACCCUGGUUUGUUUGAGGUUCUAACCACGGCCCGUGAAUCCGGGUCUGGAACCGUGCAUGGUAGGCAGUUUGACUGGGGCGGUCUCCUCCUAAAGUGUAACGGAGGAGUACGAAGGUACGCUAGGUACGGUCGGACAUCGUGCCGAUAGUGCAAUGGCAAAAGCGUGCUUGACUGCGAGACCCACACGUCGAGCAGGUACGAAAGUAGGUCAUAGUGAUCCGGUGGUUCUGUAUGGAAGGGCCAUCGCUCAACGGAUAAAAGGUACUCUGGGGAUAACAGGCUAAUACCGCCCAAGAGUUCAUAUCGACGGCGGUGUUUGGCACCUCGAUGUCGGCUCAUCACAUCCUGGGGCUGUAGUCGGUCCCAAGGGUAUGGCUGUUCGCCAUUUAAAGUGGUACGUGAGCUGGGUUUAAAACGUCGUGAGACAGUUUGGUCCCUAUCUGCCGUGGGCGCUGGAAAUUUGAAGGGGGCUGCUCCUAGUACGAGAGGACCGGAGUGGACGAACCUCUGGUGUACCGGUUAUAACGCCAGUCGUAUUGCCGGGUAGCUAAGUUCGGAAGAGAUAAACGC
rnacentral:rRNA from 1 species